AAAUGACUCUCGGCAACGGAUAUCCCGGCUCUUGCAUCGAUGAAGAACGUAGCGAAAUGCGAUACUUGGUGUGAAUUGCAGAAUCCCGUGAACCAUCGAGUCUUUGAACGCAAGUUGCGCCUAAAGCCAUUAGGUUGAGGGCACGUCUGCCUGGGUGUCACGC
rnacentral:rRNA from 1 species